UGUGCAGGCGGUUUCGAAAGUCCGAUGUGAAAUCCCCGAGCUUAACUUGGGAACUGCGUUGGAAACUACGAGGCUAGAGUGCGGCAGAGGGGGGUGGAAUUCCAGGUGUAGCAGUGAAAUGCGUAGAGACCUGGAGGAACACCGAUGGCGAAGGCAGCCCCCUGGGUUAGCACUGACGCUGAGACACGAAAGCGUGGGGAGCAAACA
rnacentral:rRNA from 1 species